rnacentral:rRNA from 1 species
UACGUAGGGGGCAAGCGUUGUCCGGAUUUAUUGGGCGUAAAGCGCUCGCAGGUGGUUCGUUGCGUCGUGCGUGAAAGACCCCGGCUCAACUGGGGAGGGUCAUUCGAUACUGAUCGACUCGAAGGCAGGAGAGGGAAGCGGAAUUCCCGGUGUAGUGGUGAAAUGCGUAGAUAUCGGGAGGAACACCAGUGGCGAAGGCGGCUUCCUGGCCUGUUCUUGACGCUGAGGCGCGAAAGCUAGGGGAGCAAACAGG